GGGUCUCUUACGUAGUCUCAAGGCCGAGAAUGGCACAGGUAAGAGGUGCAGGGUCUGUCAUACAGCUUAAGUAGAUAAGUAAUGACUCAUUUAUACAGCUCAGUCUAUCAUAUGGCCUGAGACAUGAAGAAUGGCACAGGUGAGAAACCUUGAUCUAUUAUGCAGCUUGGGGAUCAGGUUAUGUCUUAGAUUGGAGGUGCUGGUUCUGUCGUAUAUCCUCAGGAAUCAGGUAUGAGGCUGGGUCUCAUAGAGCGUGAGGAGUCAGGAAUGGCACAGGUAGGAGGCUGAGUAUGUCACACACGAGUCAGAAUGGUAGGAGCCUGGGUCUCAUGUACAUGAAGAGUCAGGAAUGGCACAGGUGUGAGCUGGGUCUUUCAUACAACCUGAGGAGUUGGGAAUGGCACAGGUAGGAGUCUGGGUCUCUCAUACAUGAGUCGGGAAUAGCAUGGGUAAGGAGACUGGGUCUGUCAUACAUGAGUCGAGGAAUGGCAUAGGUAGGAGGCUGGGUUUCUUAUACGUGAGUCAAGGAAUAGUACAGGUAGGAGACUGUGUCUCUUGAGUUGGGAAUGGUACAGGUAAGAAGCUGGGUCUCAUACAUGAGUAGCAGUGUCACAGGUAAGAGUUUGGGUCUGUCAUACAUGAGUCGAGGAAUAGCACAGGUAGGAGACUGCGUCUCAUAUAUGAGUUGAGGAAUGGCACAGCUUGGAGGCUGGGUCUGUCAUACAACAUUGUUUGGGAUUGGCACAGGUAGGAGUUUGAAUCUGUUAUCCAACAUAAGUCGGGAAUGGCACAGGUAGGCUACUGGGUCUGUUAUUCAUGAGGUGUCUGGUAACUACACAGGUAGGAAUCUGGGUCUCAUACAUGAUCCGAGGAAUGGCACAGGUAGGAGGCUGGAUCUGUCAUUCAACAUGAGUCAGGAAUGGCAACAGGUAGGAGGCUGGGUCUGUCAUACAUGAGUCAGGAAUGUUACAGGUAGGAGGCUGGGUCUGUCAUACAUGAGCCAGGAAUGUUACAGGUAGGAGGCUGGGUCUGUCAUACAUGAGCCAGGAAUGUUACAGGUAGGAGGCUGUGUCUCAUGAGUCAGGAAUGGCACAGGUAGGAGACUGGGCCUCUCAUACAUGAGUAGGGAAUGGCACAGGUAAGAGGCUGGUCUGUCGUUUGUGAGGAAUCUCGUAACAGAACAGGUAGGAGGCUGGUUCUGUCAUGCAUUAUGUAGAAUCAGGAAUGACAGAUUUGAGGCUGGGUCUGUCAGACAGUUUUCUUGAAUGGCACAGGGUCUGUCAGUAUGUCUGGAGAGAGCAAAUCUUAUUCUUUUGAACUGGUAGCCCAGGUAGGAAGGGUUUCUUUGUUUCUGUGGUGCCGUAAAUGGAUAGUUGCUGGGAUAGACUUGUAGGGUGCUGCAUCUCCAGGAAGUGUGAUCUGUCUUGAUCAAGGUAGUGCAGGGGCUGGAUCUGAGUCUGAGAAGGCAGACCUGGCACAGUGCCAGUCCUGGCAGGCUCCCAGGAUCCGUCCCCAAUGCAGGCAAGCACGGUUCUGCUCGGUCAGUGCCAGGGAAGUGGGUUAGCUCAGGUUGGGGGGCUGCGUCCGUCAAUGCUUGGAGAGUUUGGUCACAGGUAUGAGCUCGCGGUGCUGGCGUGUGUGAGGAGGUGGCAACUUGAAGAGGUUAGGCACAGGCCUGAGGCAGGCGGCCACCUUGUUGGGCGGCCCAGAGAGGUGGCUGGGAUAGGCCCUCCCAGCUGCAGCCGAGGCAGUGC